CACUAGGGAGAUGUUCCACGAAUACUUACGUAUUUCGCUUCUGCACAAAACCCCACGAUUUUCUACUCACAAAAGAAUUGCAAAAAUAUAAUAUAUUAUAUUUUGCUCCUUUUAUGGCCUGGUAUCGGUAAUUCGCUUUAGCGCCAUCCAUUUUCAGGGCUAGUUCAUUCGGUAGGUGAGUUGUUACACACUCCUUAGCGGAUCUCCACUUCACUGAGCACCGUCCAACUGUCAUUAUGAACCAACACCUUUUAUGGUAUCUAAUGAGCGAAUAUUUAGGCACCUUAUCCAGGCAUUAGGUUCAUCCCUCAUUGCCAGUUCUGCUUACCAAAAAUGGCCCACUUGGAGUUAUCUUAUUUCAAUUGAGAAAAAUAACAUAAAGUUAUUUUUAACAUUUUUUUACCCAUUGGGAGUUUGAUAAUAGGUGAAGGAAAUUCAAUUUCCUUCACUCCUAUUAAUCAGUGUCUCUAUACCUGGUAAAAUUAUAAUAAUCAACUCCAGCGAUCCUGAGAGAUCUUUCGAAAAUAA
rnacentral:rRNA from 1 species